GUCGAACGGACCCUUCGGGGUUAGUGGCGGACGGGUGAGUAACACGUGGGAACGUGCCUUUAGGUUCGGAAUAGCUCCUGGAAACGGGUGGUAAUGCCGAAUGUGCCCUUCGGGGGAAAGAUUUAUCGCCUUUAGAGCGGCCCGCGUCUGAUUAGCUAGUUGGUGAGGUAAUGGCUCACCAAGGCGACGAUCAGUAGCUGGUCUGAGAGGAUGACCAGCCACAUUGGGACUGAGACACGGCCCAAACUCCUACGGGAGGCAGCAGUGGGGAAUCUUGCGCAAUGGGCGAAAGCCUGACGCAGCCAUGCCGCGUGAAUGAUGAAGGUCUUAGGAUUGUAAAAUUCUUUCACCGGGGACGAUAAUGACGGUACCCGGAGAAGAAGCCCCGGCUAACUUCGUGCCAGCAGCCGCGGUAAUACGAAGGGGGCUAGCGUUGCUCGGAAUUACUGGGCGUAAAGGGCGCGUAAGCGGACAUUUAAGUCAGGGGUGAAAUC
rnacentral:rRNA from 1 species